rnacentral:rRNA from 1 species
CCCUUAGAUGUUCUGGGCCGCACGCGUGCUACACUGAGUGGAUCAGCGGGUCAGGUUGCGCGAAAGUGUUUCCUAAUCCUGAAAUCCGCUCGUGAUGGGGAUUGACGGUUGCAAUUUUCCGUCAUGAACGAGGAAUACCUUGUAAGCGCGGGUCAUCAUCCCGCGCUGAAUACGUCCCUGCCCUUUGUACACACCGCCCGUCGCUCCUACCGAUUGAGUGGUCCGGUGAGGCUUUGGGAUCUGAGCGGAAAGAGCGUUUCGCUGUUUCUGCUCGGAAAACUCAGUCGAACCUUAUCAUUUAGAGGAAGGAGAAGUCGUAACA